GGGGAAUUUUGCACAAUGGGGGAAACCCUGAUGCAGCGACGCCGCGUGAUUUAGAAGGCCUUCGGGUUGUAAAAAUCUUUUGUACAGGAAGAAAAUGACGGUACUGUACGAAUAAGGUCCGGCUAAUUACGUGCCAGCAGCCGCGGUAAUACGUAAGGACCGAGCGUUGUCCGGAAUCAUUGGGCGUAAAGGGUACGUAGGCGGACUAAUAAGUUAGAAGUUAAAGGCUAUAGCUCAACUAUAGUAAGCUUUUAAAACUGUUAGCCUUGAGUAAUUGAAGGGAAAGUGGAAUUCCUAGUGUAGCGGUGAAAUGCGCAGAUAUUAGGAGGAAUACCAGUGGCGAAGGCGACUUUCUGGCAAUUAACUGACGCUGAGGUACGAAAGCGUGGGUAGCAAACA
rnacentral:rRNA from 1 species